UACGUAGGGUGCGAGCGUUAAUCGGAAUUACUGGGCGUAAAGGGUGCGCAGGCGGUUGAUUAAGUCAGAUGUGAAAUCCCCGGGCUUAACCUGGGAGCUGCAUUUGAGACUGGUCGGCUGGAGUGUGUCAGAGGGGGGUAGAAUUCCACGUGUAGCAGUGAAAUGCGUAGAGAUGUGGAGGAAUACCGAUGGCGAAGGCAGCCCCCUGGGAUAACACUGACGCUCAUGCACGAAAGCGUGGGGAGCAAACAGG
rnacentral:rRNA from 1 species